GACGGAGGGUGCUAGCGUUGUUCGGAAUUACUGGGCGUAAAGGGCGCGUAGGCGGCUGCUCAAGUCGGGUGUGAAGCCCGGGCUCAACCCGGAACGGCACCCGAGACUGGGCGGCUCGAGACCGGGAGAGGUGGGUGGAAUACCCAGUGUAGAGGUGAAAUUCGUAGAUAUUGGGUGGAACACCGGUGGCGAAAGCGGCUCACUGGCCCGGUUCUGACGCUGAGGCGCGAAAGCGUGGGGAGCAACA
rnacentral:rRNA from 1 species